rnacentral:rRNA from 1 species
UACGUAGGGUGCAAGCGUUGUCCGGAAUUAUUGGGCGUAAAGAGCUCGUAGGCGGUUUGUUGCGUCGGCUGUGAAAUCCCGAGGCUCAACCUCGGGUCUGCAGUCGAUACGAGCAAACUAGAGUGUUGCAGGGGAGACUGGAAUUCCUGGUGUAGCGGUGAAAUGCGCAGAUAUCAGGAGGAACACCGGUGGCGAAGGCAGGUCUCUGGGACGGUACUGACGCUGAGACGCGAAAGCGUGGGGAGCGAACAGG